rnacentral:rRNA from 1 species
UACGUAGGUGGCAAGCGUUAUCCGGAAUUAUUGGGCGUAAAGAGCGCGCAGGUGGUUGAUUAAGUCUGAUGUGAAAGCCCACGGCUCAACCGUGGAAGGUCAUUGGAAACUGGGUCACUUGAAUAUAGAAGAGGAAAGUGGAAUUCCAUGUGUAGCGGUGAAAUGCGUAGAUAUAUGGAGGAACACCAGUGGCGAAGGCGGCUUUCUGGCCAGUUACUGACGCUCAUGCGCGAAAGCUGGGGUAGCGAACCGGAUUAGAUA